ensembl:lncRNA
AUUUAAAUGCUAAAGGGCAGCUCCUCUACUGAAGGCAACUGAAGCCAAGAGAGCUGUGACAGUUUAUGCCAGCUGAAGAUUUGCCUUUAAGUAAAUGUUUUAAACUUUUCACUAAGGAGACUAAAAUAAGCCAUAGCAUGAAACGUUAAGAGCAAAGAAUGAACUCUGGAGACCAGAGGGAUUUGGGAAAUGAAAUGAGAUCCAUCUUACUGGCACAUUUCCCCCUCCGUCUAUUUUUGGAAUUUAAAAAAUUCCCCCAGAUUUGUCUUCUACAGACCAGCUUUUUGUUCACAGACCAGCACUGAGCAGCCUCCUCUUUCACACAGGGCAGCUAUGCAACUUGCAACCAGAUAUGAGAUGAACAAGAAGAUUUGUAGUUGGUGAGCAAGUUGUGAUCAACCCAACUCCUCUGCAGAAUGCUGUGAUGCUCACCAUGACUGGGCAUACUGAUACGCUUUGUGAAAACUAAACUAGGAACACCUGCAGAGCCCCCUGGUGAGCCCCAGUGGAGGGGCUCUGAACUGAAGAGGAACACAUCUAAUGAUGCCCUGAAGUUUAGUCUGAGUAUCUCCAAAUGGAGCAUAGCUGGAAAAACAAAUCAUCUGGGGAAUGCAUUGUCUGGCUGCACAGGCCACAGCUCCAAACAGGAUGUAGUGAAGCUGCAUGAUCCAGCUGUGCUACACGAUGGAGAAGGUUCAAGUGUGUCAGCUCCUGGUCUGAAUGUGGAAACAGCAGAAACACGCUGUGUAGGUGGCUUACACUGUGUAGCCAGCGAACGUGCCUGCAGAUACAUGGGCAAUACCAGCACAAAGGCUACUUGCUUACCAGCCCACGCACAAAUCUGUUCCACGCUCCGCAUGGGAAGAGGCAGCAGCAUCGCGGAUGAGCGAAGGCUGCAGGGUGCUGAUAUUUGGGUGAAAAUCCACACCCCACUGUGUUAUUCAUCCCUCACCAGUCCUCCAAAAUCUCCUCCCCCAGGAUAGUUUUUUGGACAGCAUCGGGAUAAAUUCUGCUGGAGGAUGGCAGAACAGGCCAAGGAGUGAGUCAAAAAUACCCACUCGUUUGAGGGAAUGAAGUAGUGUGGAAGGACUGGGUGCUAUUAAGUUGAAAGCUGUUUGUGUAGCACGGCUGCCUAACAAACAACCCUUUCAAAUAAAUUCUGAAUAAGAAUAAUGAUAUUUACUCCAAUCUUGUAGACACAGCCUUGCUCUCUUCCCAAAGUGAGGGCAAGGUCUAUGCACAGCCAGCUUCUCUGUGGGAAAGGAGAUCUGUUCAGCGCCAACAUGAACAUUGCCAGAAUGGGGUUCACAGUUGCAUGAUAGGAACACAGCAGUACUGGGCUGGGGGGAUUUGAUGCAAGCACUAACCUACUUAAUCCACUGGAGACUGCCUGGCUGUUCUUGUCUGCUUGCCAGAAGGGCUCUCAUGUCUGUGCCUCACUGCAGGGAUGCCCUGUGUUAGUUCCUCUUCCAUUUUUCACUUCUAUUUUUCACCUAGGAAACCUCCUUCUGCAGGACUGAAUGUCCUUGAAAGCAUCAGUUAUAACAAACAACCAGGGGCAGAUCUCAGACGAAUGCUGCACAAGUCAGAGGUCACAGCUGGAACUGCUUUUAGGGGAAAUUCAAAAUUACUGUCAAAAGCAGUUCUCUCUCAUUUUAAUUGUAAUUGGUUAAUCUCAUUUUAUUUGCCUUGUGGCUAUGGCUGUGAAGCUUAGGAAACUCUCGGGGCCCCUGCUCUGCUCUCAGUUACCCUGG